rnacentral:rRNA from 1 species
CCUACGGGUGGCUGCAGUGGGGAAUAUUGGGCAAUGGGCGCAAGCCUGACCCAGCAACGCCGCGUGAAGGAAGAAGGCUUUCGGGUUGUAAACUUCUUUUAAGGGGGAAGAGGAGAAGACGGUACCCCGUGAAUAAGCCACGGCUAACUACGUACCAGCAGCCGCGCUAAUGCGGAGGUGGCAAGCGUUGUCCGGAUUUACUGGGUGUAAAGGGCGUGCAGCCGGGAGGACAAGUCAGAUGUGAAAUGCCGCGGCUCAACCGCGGAACUGCAGUUGAAACUGUUUUUCUUGAGUACAGGAGAGGUCAUCGGAAUUCCUUGUGUAGCGGUGAAAUGCGUAGAUAUAAGGAAGAACACCAAUGGCGAAGGCAGAUGACUGGACGGCAACUGACGGUGAGGCGCGAAAGCGUGGGGAGCAAACAGGAUUAGAUACCCGGGUAGUC